AGAUGACACUGGCCGUCCAUUGUAGUUAUUAUAUUAAGUCUAACCGUCUGUGGUUAUCUUCUUAUUUUAUGGCCCACUAUCUCCAAACCAGUUCCCGACGGUUAUCUGAUGGUUUUUUUUUGCCAUCCCCACUCUCGCGUGAUUCCAGGGCAUUGGUUUCUCCUCCUCCCCAUAAAACUCCCCCUGUGUUCAAUCACAAUUCCAAAUCCAGAGAAACCCUCGAUUCCAUCAGCCACUGACCGUGCCCUCUGCGUCUGUUUGAGCCUAGCCCCACCGCCAUAGCGCCACCGUCUGCCACCAAACCAGGUGGUUGCACAACACGUCUAUUGAAAUUACGAAAAAGUACCUGCAAGCUUUUUGUCCAUGUUUAAUGUUGCUUACCGCGAUUCAAAUGGAGAACUCCCAGUGGCAGCUGGUCGCUUAGCUGCAUACAUUUAUCAAAAGACCAAGCAGUUGAAUGGUUUAAUGAACAAAGGCAAUGGGUCGGCCUCUUUAAUUUGACGGAUACCUUGUAUUUUUCUCAAAUAUCAGAUUUUGAGAUCUAGGAGAUGCUCCCCGAGGAGCUUUGAUCGUGUUACAAAGAAAUAACCAACCAAUCACAACAUGCCAUGUCGUCAUCCCUUAUGCCUCAACACCGGUGAAAGAUUGCCUCGCCUCACCCACCACGCCGCCCUCCAUGCCAUACGAGGGCCGGUGUGCCCGACGUGGAGUGACUUCCACGCUGCUUUUCCACACCCAUUCCGUGUGGUCUUAAAAGCUAUAACCGAUGUGAGAUCAAGUGUUGGCGACUGACGAGAAGUAUAAUGAGGCAAUUUAUAGCAGUGCUAAACGGCUAACUAGCUGCAGCGAUCGAUAGUCUUCCUGAUCCUGGCAGCCCACAACCAUAGGACGCUACAACAGUUGUGGCAGGUUCAUGUUGGUGGUAGCAUCUUAACAUUUUGCAAAUCUCCAUUUGGGACAAAUCAUCCUGUUUACUGCAGGUCAACUAUGGUGUACAAUGAAAUGUGUAGACUACUCAGAUGGUGAAUGAAUACAAGAAUAAGUUGGAAUAUUUUGAUUCUGGACAUUAUAAGUAUCUCAGAAGAAGGUUUUAUCGAGUCUUUUUUGGGUUUUGCCUUUUUUUUGUUCGUUUUUCCUUUUUCGUGUUUAAUAUCUGUUACGAUAUGUUUUCAUAUCCGUGUGAAGUAGGUGGGUCCUUUUUAUUUGAUAAACAGAUAUAAGAUUGUCGUGCUGAAGAGGUGAGUGAGAAAACGAAACAUGAGGGGUGUCUUGGGAUUAAACUAUCGGGUGAUAGUGGUGGAAAUACCAUGCUCUAGCCCAGGUACCCACUCUUGGUUAUUAUUUUUGGCCUGUCAUCAAUGCAUAACUCAUAAAUUAUAAUACACAAGGGGCAACACAACUUUUUAUUAAUUUCUAAAUUUAAAACUAAAUAUAACUAUACCAAACCGUUUUCAACAAGAAAAACAAUAUAAUUUUUUUAAAAAUCAUAUUUGACAUGUUACUGUUUAUGUCGGAUAGAUGGUUUUGGUACUGAAAUCGAAGGUUUAGGGAACCGAAAUAAAUGAGUUUUGAUACUGAUGUUUAAGGAACUGAGAUAGAUUUGUUUAGUUUGAUCAUAUUAAGUUGUUUUCAAAAAGUCAUGUUUUGAAAAGCUAAGCCAAAAAUGGCCUUAGUUGGAUUGUUUUUGUUGUUGUUGAGCAGUUGGUUUGAUCACCACCGGAACUAAUCACGGUUUCUCUUCCUUUUAACCUUCUUUUUGGUUGUAUUUUGCAUUGUUCUGUUUAAUCACUUUAUAUGCAUUUUCUUAUUUUUUAUUGUGUAUACUCUAUAUUUGCAGCUUUAUUUUUUUAAAUUGAUGAAUAAUUGUAUCGAUCUUUAACCUAAAUUAAAGUGAGAGAAUCGGAGUUCCUCCGGUUGGGAUCUUUUAUUGAACAA